rnacentral:rRNA from 1 species
UACGUAGGGGGCGAGCGUUACCCGGAAUCACUGGGCGUAAAGGGAGCGUAGGUGGCCUGACAUGUCGACUGUGAAAACCCGGAGCUCAACUCCGGACUUGCAGUUGAAACUGCCAGGCUUGAGGACGGUAGAGGAAGACGGAACUGCCAGUGUAGGGGUAAAAUCCUUAGAUAUUGGCAGGAACGCCGGUGACGAAGGUGGUUUUCUGGGCUGGUUCUGACACUGAUGCUCGAAAGCCAGGGGAGCGAACGGGAUUAGAUACCCGGGUAGUCCCUGAGCGGGCU